GGCUCAGGACGAACGCUGGCGGCGUGCCUAAUACAUGCAAGUAGAACGCUGAAGGGAGAGCUUGCUCUUCUGGAUGAGUUGCGAACGGGUGAGUAACGCGUAGGUAACCUGCCUGGUAGCGGGGGAUAACUAUUGGAAACGAUAGCUAAUACCGCAUAAGAGUAGAUGUUGCAUGACAUUUGCUUAAAAGGUGCAAUUGCAUCACUACCAGAUGGACCUGCGUUGUAUUAGCUAGUUGGUGGGGUAACGGCUCACCAAGGCGACGAUACAUAGCCGACCUGAGAGGGUGAUCGGCCACACUGGGACUGAGACACGGCCCAGACUCCUA
rnacentral:rRNA from 13 species